rnacentral:rRNA from 1 species
UGUGAAUUGCAGAAUUCAGUGAAUCAUCGAAUCUUUGAACGCACCUUGCGCCCUCUGGUAUUCCGGAGGGCAUGCCUGUUUGAGUGUCAUUAAAUUCUCAACUUCAUCAGUUUUUAUAACUGUUUGAAGCUUGGACUUGGGGGAUUUUGCUGGCGUCUUUGAGAUGUUUCCGGCUCCCCUUAAAUGCAUUAGUAGGAACCCGUUUGUUGGCGUCCAUARUGUGAUAAUUAUCUACAUUUUGGUUAGUCCAACAGACUCUAAUGGAGUUCAUACUGUUAGGUUUUGCACAGUGGUGCUUUUCCUGAGUAUGGGGUUUUUGUAUUCUUAUGGGAUGCUUUACCUGUCUUUCUUCAUUGGAGUAGGAACUCUGCUUUCAAACCGUCUGCAUAUUGUGGACAAUUUUGACAACUUGACCUCAAAUCAGGUAG